UGUGCACUGACCACACCUCGGCUGUCACUCGUGGAGCAUUUUGGUUGAUUCGACGGCAAGAUGAAGGCGAAGUCCCCUGCAGCAGAGCCUCCAGAGUCGCCGGAAUGACCGUGUGGCCACUGCCGCCAGCUCGGGUGCUGGUGCCCUCACCCAAGCGCUGGGCGAACAUGGCCACGGGAACUCCCCAGGGCAAACCAACCACCCCU